UUUUUUUAUCAAUUUUCCAUUUAGCCCACCAUAGCUGCCCAGCCCAAAUUCAAAUCAGUAACCCAUCUACUCCUUCAAGCCCAACUCUUCCCUUCAACCCGAUAACCCGUCCUUUUCCUAACCCGGCCACGUCUUUUUCUCCAAGAGAAAUAUCCAGGACGCGCGUCCGCUCCAACUUCUAAAGGACAACUCUCCAGCUCAGCGUCAGCGAGCGAGUGAGAAGAUUGUAGCGGCAUGCGCGUCGCCCUCCUCGUGUGAAGACUGACGCAUCCCAACGUAUAUCUCCACCUUUUUCAUACAAGUUUCAGCAGCAGCAAGAGCAGCUGCUAUGGCAGUGCGGAAUCGUCUUUCCAAGCGUGAGAUCAAGCCACGCAAGGACGCUAUCUUUGAUCCAAACCGUCCAGCGCUCUUUGUUUUUCCAGAUAUCGCGGGAUUUGGGUCGAAUCCCUUACGGAGCUCCUUCGUCCUAGGGGUUUUUCGAAUUCAAAAGGGGAGUUGAAUUCUCAUUUUUACCCUGGUUUUUUUUCGCUUUGGCUCGUGUUUUCCCUGUUUCGCUGCCCACUACAAGAUGAUUCCUUACAUUACCAUGGGACAGCUGAUGAGAGACUGAUCUUUCAAGCUGUUCUGCAGGUACUUGGUUAUGCCCGCCCUUGUGAUCCGUAAAUGUUGUAGAAGAUAAAUUCAGUAAUGGUAUUUCACAAAUACUUUGAAGCAAUACACAUCCAAACAUAUAACAUUGAACACACAAAACACCUCUCUUUUAUUUGUCCCUUACUUUUGGCCUUCUAAAAAAAAUAUUAUCUUUAAAUUAGCUUAUGAUAAAUUUAUAUUUGAAACUUCUCACGUUCUCUAGGAGGUCAAAUACUUCUUCGGCAAGUGCAUGACUCAAAUACUAAAAAAAGAAUUUAAGGGUAGGAAAUUUUUAUUGCAAAAGAUAUAUUCUCGUUGAAUACAUAGGUAAUUUUAUAGUAGUAUAGAAUCAUGAUGUAGACUUGUCAAAUGAUAUCUUGUAUUAGUUUUGUAUUUACCAAAUAAAUUCAAUGUCUCUUUUGAAAUAAAAGAGUCAGUGACAUUUGCUCUCACCAUAUUUACCAAAGUGAACAUCAAAAAGAGAACAAAUGAGUGUUUAAUCAUUCAUGUAUAUGGUUUAUAAAUAGUUCAAAUCAUGUUAUAUAUAUAUAUGGAAAUAUCAUCACUACCAUAAAAUUACACCAAACUCAAAAAAAUAACUUGAUAAUGUUACGAAUUGAAAAUGAAAAUGGACGAAACUAUAAGCAAAACUUUAUUGUAUAUUUAGAGGAGCUUUGUUCUUUCAUUAUCCUUUGAACUUCUUUAAAUUUUAUUAUCCUAUACCUUAGGACUCUUUUAGCUUUGGAGCUAUUUUCUUAUUCGAGCACUCCAAUUUUCACAAAGGACAAUGAAUUUUUAGUUGUCAUAAUAAUAGCUAGAAAACUAAGGAUGUCUAUUAUUAAUUAUACUGAACAAAGAAUAGCCAAGGAUAUGACUACAUUAGAGGUUAACACACACACAUGAAAAGAAAAACUUUAUAAGCUGAAACCAAGUGGGGUCAGCCAUGUUAAUUUCAGCACCUUGCCUGAAGUUUCAGGUUUUGUUACUACUAUUACCCUUUCUUGUUCAGUUGUUGUUGAAGAGGUCAUAUUCAUUUUGUUUCUUCUCAAUCACUUGUAAUUCAUUGCUUAGGAUGUCAAUUAAAGAAGUUGAGAACAUAUUUAUUAAGAAUCAAUAGAUCAUUCUUUUAACAUUUUGAACAUAACUUUCAUUAAACAUGUCAUAUGCAAAAUGAAAGACAUAAUUUUUCUCUUGAAAGAAAAUAGUAGAUCAUACUGUAGGGAAAUUGAAACACCCAAACAUACUAUCACAUUUCAAUAAACUCAAAUCAGGGAGACCUGUUUUAUUCAAAAAGCCAUUUGACAAAAGUUCAGAUUCUCUCAUCCAAACAUAUUAUUCUUAGUUAGUUGUGCCGAUUCUUCACUUUUGAUGCCGUACUCGUGUU